CAAAGUGGGGUCUCCAGAUCACCCUCUGCAGAAAUGCAAAUUCUCAGUCCUUAUCCCAGACCCGCUGAAUCAGAAACUCUGAAAGUGGUGCCCAGCGAUCUGGGCCCUUCAGGGGAUUCUGAUGCACAAAUGUGAGACCCAGUGAAACACAUAACCUAGAAGGUUCAGCCUGCUUGUUCUCUCACAAGUAUGGGAGCAUUAACUGGCACACCUGAAUGACCUCUGGAAUUUCAAGCCUAGGAGCCCACAUAGCUGCCACUAGAAGAAGGAGGAGUGUCCCAACUCAGCGCAUCUUUCUCCUGCUGCUAGAGUUCAAGACCCUGCGCAAGAAUGCACACAAACUAACUUUUAAGCCUUGACCAGAGGCAGGAAAGCAUGGGCUAGGGGAGAAAGGUCCUGAUGGGCCUCACCUGGUACUGAGGAGAAAGCAGAACCUCUCUUCCCCAGGCCUUAGAAGGAACGAAGGUGGGCCAGCAGGUCCAGCCCUCCCCCCUGACUGGAGGACUGACACGAGGCCAACCUUCCCAGAUGCCAUCCUGCUCAAGGCCAGGGUCUGCCCCACUGCUGGCAACAGAGUUUCUGAAUGCCAGGGAGAGGGGCCGCCAGGCCUCUAAACUGCCUGCCAACAAGGUGCCGAGAACACCAGCACGGAGAAUGGGUUCCUUUGCUGAAAGCCACUCUAAAGAAACCUGAGACACCUCUCCGCUGGAAGUCACAACAGCUCUUUGCACCCCUGAACACGUCAAAUCACAGACAGCCCUCACCCCACUGUCUCCGGUUACCCCGGCCUGGUCCGAGAUGAAGA